GUAUAUUCUUGCCUACUUUGUCAAAGAUAAGGUGUCCAUAUGUGUGUGGAUUUAUCUCUGGGCUUUCUAUUUUGUUCCAUUGAUCAAUAUUUCUGUCUUUGUGCCAGUACCAUACUGUCUUGAUAACUGUGGCUUUGUAAUAGAGCCUGAAGUCAGGUAGGUUAAUUCCUCCAGUUCCCUUCUUCUUUCUCAAGAUAGCUUUGGCUAUUCGAGGUUUUUUGUAUUUCCAUACAAAUUGUGAAAUUAUUUGUUCUAGCUCUGUGAAGAAUACCAUUGGUAGCUUGAUGGGGAUUGCAUUAAAUCUAUAAAGUGGUUUGGGUAGUAUACUCAUUCUUAAGAAAAUCUUGUAUUCAUUGGUUAAUUUGCGCAGGCUUACAAAAGCAUUUGUUAAAAUAAGUUUUGAUCAUUCUUAGCAUAAACAAACAAAAAUUUCUAAAUAUCCCACUGGGCAUGCUCAUAUGGGAAAAGAACAGCGACCUUACCCAAAAUGAUGAAACUAUCCCCUUUAAUGUGGAAAAACACCAAGAGCUCACAGAAACAGGAAGGUUAAUUGGUAAGAGUCUUAGUUCUUUCAUUUACUAGUCCAUUUAAGAAGCUCACUUGAUCAUUUCCAUCAUCUAGUAGAGGCGGGCACUGUGAAAAAUACCGUGUCAUGUGUAUUUAAAAGUUAAUAAUCUAUAACCAUAACUUACAUCAUCCUUAGGAGUCAAUGGACAUACAGGAAAUUGCUGCCCCUUUUCCUUUCAUGGAAAAAGUGUUCAUUUAUAAAAUGCACAACAGUUGCUGUAGUACUCAGUGCUAGAGGAAGAAAAGGCCAUUUGCUUUUUUUCUCACUGAUUUACUGAAACAAGACUAUGUUGUAUAAUAAGAUACUGUGAAUCAUUCAAAUAAAAGAUUGCACAAUAUCCAAUUUAACAGUUACAACACUUGUGUUUCCUCAAAUAAAUCUUCUAUCUAAAUGGCAUCUAGGUGAUAUGUGGAAUACUUGAUUUUUAAGAUAUAAUUUAAAUGAUACUGGGCAAUUUAUAAUGUUAUUAAGGCACUCUUCUGUUGGAAAGGAUGAAGUAAUGAAAAUCUGACUUGACCUGCAUGAGUUUACUGGGACUACCAUAACAAAAUACCACAGACGCUGUGGCUUAAAUAACAGAAAUGUAUUUCUCACAGUUCUGGAGACUAGAACUCCAAGAUCAAAGUGCAGAAGUGCAGUAUCCAUGUCCAAGAUCCAAGUGUAGCCAAGUUUGCUUUCUUCUGGGGUCUCUCUCCUUGAUCUGGAGACAGCCAUCUUCUUACUGAUUCCUCACAUGGUUGUCCCCUGGUCUAUGUGCAUCUGUGUCCUAAUUAUCUCUUUGUAUAAGACCACCAAUUGUAAUAAAUUAAGGUCCACUUGUAUGGUCUCAUUUUAUCUCAGUCACAUCUUUAAAGGUCUUAUCUCCAAUACAGUCACAUUCUAAGGCACUGGGGAUCACAGCUUUAAUGUAUGCAUUUUGGGCAGGCAUAAUUCAGUGCAUUACACCUUCCUACUCUUAACGAGUAGAAGACCAGAUACCAUACAUGUAAGAGUUAUCUUCAGAUGUUGGAUAGCAGGCAGCACAGAAAUGUUACCUCUGAGAGAAGAGAAAUGAAGGUGGACUCCGCUAUGGCCCUAGUUUUCUUCCUAGAAACUCAUUCCAAUUUCCAUACUAGGAUGGAAAUUUUCAAAGAAGAGCAUAGUGGUUUCACAGAGUCGAGGAGACAGAGAUUAGAAGUUAGUGAGGUUAAAGAAUGUCACUGAGAAGAAUUUUGGAGAAGGCAGAUCUACACAGAGAAAGAGUACCAGAAACCUGAACAGGAAUCUGUUCUAUCUUUGCCAAACACUACGCCAGGUAUGUACAUAUGGAGCAAAAUUCCAGGAGGCCUUGCAAAGAACGAUGAGUGUGCUGUAAACAGAAUAAUUCUCAGAAAUCACACUAUAUAGGCAGACUUUUUAGCUCUGAUUCAUCAUAGAUUUUUCAUUUCUCACUUGAUCAUUCAGUAGAAACUGUAAAAUUCCCACAACUUGAGUAGUCUGUUGUUCCAUGUCCAGUUCUAACUGUUGCUUCCUGACCUGCAUACAAAUUUCUCAAGAGGCAGAUCAGGUGGUCUGGUAUUCCCAUCUCUUUCAGAAUUUCCCACAGUUUAUUGGGAUCCACACAGUCAAAGGCUUUGGCAUAGUCAAUAAAGCAGAAGUAGAUGCUUUUCUGGAACUCUCUUGCUUUUUCGAUGACCCAGUGGAUGUUGGCAAUUUGGUCUCUGGUUCCUCUGCCUCUUCUAAAACCAGACUGAACAUCAGGAAGUUCACGGUUCACGUAUUGCUGAAGCCUGGCAUGGAGAAUUUUGAGCAUUACUUUACUAGCGUUUGAGAUGAGUGCAAUUGUGCGGUAGUUUGAGCAUUCUUUGGCAUUGCCUUUCUUUGGGAUUGGAAUGAAAACUGACUUUUCCAGUCCUGUGGCCACUGCUGAGUUUUCCAAAUUUGCUGGCAUAUUGAGUGCAGCACUUUCACAGCAUCAUCUUUCAGGAUUUGAAAUAGCUCCACUGGAAUUCCAUCACCUCCACUAGCUUUGUUUGUAGUGAUGCUUUCUAAGGCCCACUUGACUUCACAUUCCAGGAUGUCUGGCUCUAGGUCAGUGAUCACACCAUCGUGAUUAUCUUGGUCGUGAAGAUCUUUUUUGUACAGUUCUUCUGUGUAUUCUUGCCACCUCUUCUUAAUACCUUCUACUUCUGUUAGGUCAUACCUCAAUGGUCUAGUGGUUUUCCCUACUUUCUUGAAUUUAAGUCUGAAUUUGGCAAUAAGGAGUUCAUGAUCUGAGCCACAGUCAGCUCCUGGUCUUGUUUUUGCUGACUGUAUAGAGCUUCUCCAUCUUUGUCUGCAGAAAAUAUAAUCAAUCUGAUUUUGGUGUUGACCAUCUGGUGAUGUCCAUGUGUAGAGUCUUCUCUUGUGUUGUUGGAAGAGGGUGUUUGCUAUGACUGAACUGAACUGAACUGAGUAGUAGGGCUAAAUAGUUUCUAAAGUAAUUGGUACUCUUAAAAAAUGCCUAGACAAAUCUCAACAAACUAAAGCUGAUAGAUGAGUGAAUUAAUACUGUCAUAAUAAAGCUCAUAAUUCCUUCCCUGGUGGUUCAGACAGUAAUUCUUUAAAGGAAAACAGCAAAAUUCAGAUACUCAUGAAUAUAACAUUCACAACAUCCAAGAUCCACAUAAAAUUUGUGAAGCAUGAUGAUAUGUAAAAAAUGUCAACCAAAAAGUGUUUUAAAUGAUCAUUAAAAACAGAAAUGAUGGAGAUGAUAAAAUUUACAGACAAGACACUUUAUUCGGAGCUUCCCCGGUGGCUCAGUGGAAUGAGUCAAUACAGGUGAUAUGCGUUUGAUCCCUGGGUGAGGAUGAUCCCCUGGAAAAGAAAUGGAAACCCACUCCAGUAUUCUUACAUGGGAAAUCCCAUAGACAGAGGAGCCUGGAGAGCUUGCAGACAAUGGGAUCAAAAAAUACUGGGCACAACUUAGCACAUACACACAUCUGAUUUUACUAUGCCGAAGGAUUAAAGUAAAAUAUGUACCAAAAAAGGAGAGAAAUGGAAAAUAUGAACCAAAUGAUAUAUCUAAAAAAUAAAAAUAUAAUAUUGGUAAUUUAAUUAUUCGCUGGAUGGGAUUAUCAGCAAAAAGACAUUUGAGGAGAAAAUAUCAGUAAAUUUAAAGAUAGAGGAGAUAUCAAUUGAUUACUCAAAUUAAAGAUAUAGAUGAACAGAAUAAAAUUUGCUUUUAUGUGUUUGUGAGUGUCAGAAGAACCUGAAAUAUAAUUAAGACAAAUCCAUCUAGGACUUGGACUUCUGGAAAUACCAGUGUAAUUGGAGGAUAUUUUUUUUCCUACUAAUCUGUGUACAAAUAAACAAAUCAUUAAAAUUCAGGUGGACAUUAAGAAGAGCAUUUUCUCUAGAGUGAAAUAAAAAUAAAUCAGACUGGCAAACUGAAUGACUAGGGAAAGUGGAGAGAUGCAUUCAAAUUUCCGGAAUCUCUGCAAGGUCACUAGACUAAACUAAUCAAUAUUAAAGAGAUUAAAGAGUAUUUUCCAUGAUCAUCAAUUUUCAUGUGAAGAUGGAAACCUUUACUCUCUGGCUACCUGAUGAAAACUUGAAACUGAUUCUAGAAGUAAUUAGAAUCAGUGAUUCUGAGGUCCUUGGAAUGGUUUACUAAUUGCUUAGGAAAUCAGGAUCAUGUUCCUUAUCUUUAGUUGAAGUAAUAAAAGCCUAGAGGGAGUUACUUCUUCACUGCAGACAACAGAAGACAUUAUGAUCCACAGGCUAUGCAUUCCACAUCCAGCUUUCCCACUCACCUAACAAGUACAAGUAGUUUCAUGGUCUUAUCCUCAAUUCCAUCAUUUAUGAAGUGAAAAUAUAAAGUAUACUUCCCAUGGAAAAAGAUUAAGUGUAUUCUGAGUCUAAAUAUUACUUUAGGAAUUAAAACAAUAAAUGAUGUUAGUGUCUGUAUUUGUUAAUUUAUUUAACAAAUAUUUACAGGAUCCUUACUGUGUGCAGUUCAAAUGUUUUGGUGAUGAUCAAGAUACAAAAUGCCUUAUUCAUGAGGAUAAUACAUUCAAGUAGGAAAAACAGACAAUAAUCAGCACUUAAAUCAACACAAAUACAAUGGAGAAAUAUAAAUAUAAAGUGAAGUAAAGAUUUGUAAAAUGAAUGGAUGAAGCUAAGUUAAGCUUCCACUUCACAUCAUAAUGCAAAGUAAUUUUCAGAUGCAUUAUGGAAUAGCAACGUUAGAAGUAAAUCUUGGAGGCUACAUAUAAAAGCUAAGGGUGGGGAAAAACUUCUCAAACAAGAAUGGGAAUACAUAAGCUCUAUUAAAAGAAAAUAGAGAGAGUCCUAUUGUAUAGCACAGGGAACUAUAUUCAGUAUCCUGUAAUAAACCGUAAUAGAAAAGACUAUGAAAAAGAAUAGUCUUUUUGGACUAUGAAAUAGACUAUGAAAAAGAAUAGGGACUUCUCUGGUGGUCCAUUGGUUAGGAAUCUGCCAGUGCAGGGGACACAGGUUGGAUCCUUGGUCUGAGAGGAUUCUACAUGCCACGGGGCACCUAAGCCCACAUGCCACAACUACUGUGGCCCACGUACCACAGCUAGGGAAGCCAGCAUGCCCUAGAGCCCCUGCUCUGCAGCAAGAGAAGCCACUGCAAUGAGAAGCCUGCACACCACAACUAGAGAAAGUCUGCGUGCGGCAACGAAGAUCUACCACUGCCAAAAAUAAACAAAUGGAGGAAUAAUUUAGAAAAAAUAUGUAUAACUGAAUCACUUUUCUGAAAAGCAGGAAUUAACAUAACAUUAUAAAUCAACUACACCUCAAUAAUUUUUUUAAUUGUAGUGAGAUAUUUUGUGAUAAAAUUUGUAAUGAUAAUGAUGGAUUAAAGGCUAAAGGCCAAUGAAAAACUGUUAAGUUGACAAGACAAAAAUGCAACAGUUAAGGAUAACUAGUUCAUACUAGAAAAAUCCCAGUGUUUAAAGGAAUGGGAUAUUUCAGAUAAGCUGGUCAUGAUUGUCCUCUGCAAACAAAACUUGAAUAAAAUGAAGGAUCAAGUCAUGCAGCAGUCCAGUGUUGAAUAUGCCAGGUGAAGUGAAGAGUUAAAGCAACAAUCUUGAAGCAGAAGCCACGUUGGUCUCAUCAAGAAUUGCUAAACCUGUAAGCUAGCAUGUGAUAGAUUAUAGGGGACCAGAAAAGUGUCAAGAUCUGUUAGUAGUUAAUUGCAGCAAUUAACAUGAGAGUUGAUGGGGACUUCAAUUCAGGUAGUAGGAAGGUAUGAGGGGAAUCAUUCAUAUUUUGAAUGCUUUUUCUAAAGUUAGAAGAAACGAGCUGCUUAUGGGUUGGGUUCCAUUUGUAAAAGAUACAGAUAUAAAGUUUACUUAGCAGAUACGUGAGUUGAACCAAAUUGCAAAUCGUUUAGUAGAAAAGAGACUGAAGUUGACUUCACAAAACAAUAUUCAGGAUUAAAAUGGAUAGUUUCUAAGAACUUCUAGGGAACUAAAACAUUUAGUAGACAUUAGAUGAAGUUAUAUAAAAGCUAAAUGCUUAAUUUCUUACAGUGCUUUAUUUUUUUAAUAGUUAAUUAUGCAAUUGAUAUAAAUUUAAAAUAACCAGAAUAGGACAUCUUGGAGAAGUAGAUAAAACUCCUCCUGCCAACUCAGGGGACACAGGUUUGAUCCCUGGUCCAUGAAGAUUCCACAUGCCACAGCUACUGAGUCACUUUCCUUCCAUGAAGAUUCCACAUGCCACAGCUACUGAGUCACUUUCCUUCCAUGAAGAUUCCACAUGCCACAGCUUCUGAGUUACUUUCCUUAGAGCCAAACAACUGAAAGAAGCCAGGGUCCCUAGAGCCUGUGCUCUGCAACAAGAGAAGCCAGUGAGAAGCCUGCACAUCGCAACUGUAGAGUGGCCCCUGCUCACCACAAUUAGAGAAAGCC
ensembl:lncRNA